AGGUGCGAUCAUACCAACGCUAAUGCACCGGAUCCCAUCAGAACUCCGCAGUUAAUCGUGCUUGGGCGAGAGUAGUACUAGAAUGGGUGACCUCCUGGGAAGUCCUUGUGUUGCACCUC
rnacentral:rRNA from 1 species